UGCUACUGCUAUUGCUAAUGCUCUACCAAUCAAGGCCUAAAAGUGAUAAACGAUUACUAACCAAAAAAUCUAACUAAGAAUAAUGAUAUAUGGAUAAUUGAUAUAAAUUACUUAAAUUAGGAGUUACGAGAAUAAUCUACGAAUUUGAGUCUGCAGCGAUAAUUUUUUAGUGAUCGAAAAUCCAAGUAACAAUAAUAAUGUCCGCAUAAUUAUUUAAGUUAGCCGACCAUUAACUUAAAUAACCAACCACCAUUAAAGAUAACAGGAUAAUUGGUAUACAUUACAUACAUGUAUGAAUCACAUAGACUGUCUAAUGUAUAUGACUUAUCCGGAUAACUUAUACCAUUAAAAAUAAGUGAAUAAUUACAUCACAUACAUAUCUGAAUCACAUAAACUAUGACAGAUACAUGUUAUAUUUUAUCAAUUGUAAAAUAGUCUUGACCGUCUAAUUUAUAUGAAUUGUCAGGAUAAUUUAUAUAUUAGAUGUUAAAUAGUUUUAUAUUUAAUGACUUUUGAUUAGUUGAUUUGUCGAGGGAAUCGAUCCGUAAAAGAAACUGCGAAGAAAUGGUGUUGUAAUUGGAGACUUGUAAUUGGAAAGGCGAAGAUUUGAUCAAGAAUUGUGCCGAUUAGCCUGUUUAAGCUAGAUCAAUGUAGUUAAGUUGGUUUAACCAAAGUAAAACCCAGUCCACCGGUCCGGUUAACUGGUUUUAGGUAAGUGAGAUAUAUUGCAGCGACUGAGGUAAGGAUGAAGGAGAGAGUGAGCCAGUGAAGCUAUGGCUUUUGAGCUUAGUGUAGCUCAAAUGGAGUGUUCUGACACAGUGAACCUCGAUAUGACUCGCCGGAAUCUUGCCAGAGAUGAAAUUCCGGCUUGUGAAGAAACAAAAGCUUUUAACUGAGACUGUUGCUCGUAAAACACCUAUGAUUUCUCGUGAGAGGUAAGUGAAGUUGCGGGUCAUCACAUGAUCAUACAGCAUCUUCUUUAUGUAAAAUACCAUGGUUUAUAGAGUUGAUUUAUAUAAAAAUUAAAAUUAUGUCAAAUUAACUCCCAAAUAGAGAAACAAAUUCAUGUGAAGCGGUGUAUUGAUCGUUGUGGUAUAUCGAUUGCAUGGUAUGUAUAUUUGUAUAUGUAAUAAUCAAAUCUUCAAAAGAUAUCGUCAACUAAUGUUGCCGUGUUGGUCAGUAUUUGCUGGCUAAUUUUAGAUCCGCACAGGCUACACAAAUAUUUACGUUUUUUGUAUAUAUAGAUUAAAACUCACGUUUUUUUCUGUAAACCAACAAAAGAAUAGGGGUACGGUGGUCAUUUCACAAGCUUUGGACAUGGGUCUCACGGUUGGACCAACGUUUCUAUAGUUGGUAUUUAUUGUGCAAAUAGCUCUUUAAUAUAAGAGUAAAAGUUUAGUAAUGUACACUGAAUCUUUUUAAUUCUUCUUACUUUGUUUCUAUUCAUUUUUCUCUCUUCAUUCUUACCAUCUAACAAUAUUAAAAGAGGAAUAUGAAAUCCUCUUAGCAUGUCAAUGUCAGAUGAAAAAAUCAGCCACUAAUAUUGCAACAAUCAUCCAUGUCAUCUUUGAUUAAUCUUGAUUUGAUUUGGGGUUCGUAUUUUGUUUUGGACUUCUUCUUUUACCUUUCCUUAUUUUGUUUGGGCUUCGUCUCUUAGCUUUAUCGACUCAUUCUCUCUUCUCUCUUUGAUGAUUCCGCCGUUCUUCUCUUACUUUUCGACCUCCACAUCUUCCAUUACUCUUCUCUCCAAAUCUGUUUCAACGCAUACCUUCACCACUAGCUGCUCUAAUCAAACCUUGCUUGAACUUAUUCAAUGUAUUCUUUUCACCUUCCUUUCCAUUUGUCUAUUUAUAAAUCUCAUUUCUUAGCUUAUGUCUCGAUUAAAAUUGAUAAGCUUCUCUCAGACAAUCAUCCCGAUGGAACCCAAAGGAAACUCUUCAAUCUCCAGCGACCACAAGACCAACAAAAAGACCGUAACUUCCUCCGCGACUGCAAAUCAAACGUCCAGAUCAACCGGCAAGGCACUGACAGCUAUGUUAUGUUCUUCAACGAGGUCGGUCCCAGAUUGGGACAAUCGGAGGCUAACUCAUUUAUGGGCAGCGAGCUACACGGCAAGGGAGCAUUUUUAAUUGGUUUAGUGCUCCUGCUUAUUGAUGAACAGGUUAGACAUGAACUGUUGUGUUGAUUUAUUUUAUUGCUUUAGAUUUCAUCGAUUCGUUCCCAUUAACUAAACAUGAACUGAUGUGUUGAUUUAUUUUAUUGCUUUAAACAUUUUUCUCCCGCACAACUCUAUCCUUUCGGAGCUUCAAGAUAACCGAGUGGAUAUUGACGUAGACAGGUUCAGCUUCCAUUCACUUGAAAAUUUUGAAGACAACUAUGGACUCAGAGCUGAUCACAAGCUAUCCGUGUUCACUUCAGCUGUUAAGAGGAUUAGCUUGCUUUAAACGAUCUGCGGACAAGUUACAGUGGAAGUAACUAACCAACUUAUUUUUGGAGAGCUAAAGCCACUUCUUUUGCUUCUCUUUCUCUCUAUCCCUUAUAUCCUAGGCCUAGCAAGUGAUGAAGAUGGUAAUAAGAUGAUCAAUGAGUAUGUUGUUGACCAGUGAAUAUUUGAUCUGUAGCUAGCCAAGUAAUUUUAUAUCAAACCUCUGUUGAUGGACAAUAUUAUGCUAUCAAGGGCGUAAAGAUCUCUGACAUAUUUUGAUACUUGAGCUAAGGGUUGCACCUUCAGAUACUGCUAUGAGUGAUCUUCGUGAGGUAUAACCCAUUUUCUAUACUGCAUAUCUACUGGUUCAUUGUAGAGACUUUAUUCUUAAACAAAGUACCUGUUUUGAUGAUUCCAAAGUUGAAUUGGGAUGCAUUAACAAAGCAGCUAUAAAACAAAAAGAAAGGGGGUGGGGGGCUAACUGCUCUCUCUAGAAAAAGGUAACAUUGCAUUUUUAGUCAGCUUUUAGUAGGCAAAAGUCUUGAAACUACAUUGUUUGUGUUACUCUUUUUCCUCUUUUUGUCGCAAAUGUCUCUCUUAUUCUAUAGCUGGUUUGUAUGGGUUAUUUUGGUUCCAUGUGGAUUUUCCGUUUUGUAUUGUGGUUGAAUGGUUGUGAUCACGCAUGUGUGGAAGAGCCGAAGAGGAGGCCAAAUAAAGAGGUGGUGAAGCUGCGAACCAGAAAGAAAACAAAGAAAGGUUCUCCAUCAAUAUUCAUGUGUUUCGUGUGAGGAGUAUCAAGGAUUUGUUGUAUGUUUUCUGGAACAAUACAAACCAGUUGCUCAAGGAUUUUUUUCUGGGAAUUACAUCAUGAAUGAUCUUCAUCAUUGUUAGGAGCCUACAAGUUCUUUGUUUUAUGUAUCGUAGGAACCAACACAAAGGACAGAGUUAAGUUCCGUAUACACAAGCAGGUGACCGACCUCUUCAGCGCUUUCGAUGUAGUGAAGCAGAUCACUUCCAUAACUAUUGAGCCUGGUAUUGAGGACAAGUACAACGCAUCUGAAUCUUAGUGCAUGUGGUUUAGUUUACAAAUUGUCUUUGAAUUUCAGGGACUUUUUAUUACAAGGUUCAGAUUUCGUCUUCACUUCCAAAAUCAAUAAGUGGGUCUAAAGCCAUAGGCAAAAUAAGUAAAAAAACAGUAUACUAUUCAGUACAACCUAUAACUAGAUUGACAAAAUAAAGUAAAGUUAUAAGAACAUAAUUAAAACAGGUUUGAGUUGAACUUAUUCAUGGUCUAUAACAAAUCUAUGUUAUAUAGAACGGACUAAUUUCCUUAAUUCUUAAGCAUGCCACAAUCAGAUAAAAAAAUAUAAUAAACAAAAUAAUUAUGUCAAAC